rnacentral:sRNA from 1 species
AAUCAAUGCAAUGCCUUGAAAACACACAUGCACCGGCACAUGGUCCCGGGUGCUGUCGUGGCCAUCCUCGAUGACGCGACGGUCGGAUCCAUGGGGUGCGUGGAGGCCUAACC